AAACUCUCUCGACGUUCUCUGUCUCUUUGCUUCUUCGCCUCACUCGAGGCCAGUCGCAUUGAUUGUCUCCGAGUUUCUGCAAGCAAAGUUAAAGAGCCAGCGGUAGCUUUUAUUUAAGUUUAUUUUUUGAACGUUUUUCAAUGAAGGGGAACCUUAGUUUCUUAUCACUAGUUUAUUACGUUCCAUAGAAUUCGUCAAAGAAGAUACUCCUGGUCAACAAGCGGAGCCAACAGACAACAAAGAAAAUCGUCGGUGUUACUUCGUGAAAGUCGUGGCUUGUGAAAGUUUGCCUUUUUUUUGAAGCAGUUGUGGAGUGAAAGAUUAAAGUGUUUGCAGGCACAGACUUAAGCCAUUCUGUUUCACCAUCUUGCUGACCUUGAGGUACAGGUAUAUUGGUUAAAACAGGAAGGUGGGCGGAAGCAGAAUUUUAGAAUACUGAGAGAGGAGUAUUUUAUUAGUAGCAUUAAGUGUUGUUUGUUAACUGUGAAGAAAUAAUAUAAAUGGUGUCAGUUUCUGUUAGAUUGCAAGGGCCGGCACAUGAAUUGAAACAUGCCACUUUCAACCAGUUUAACCAGUUGGGGCAGGUCAAGACAGCGCAGAGAAAGCUGAGGAUGGAGAGCUGAAAGUUGAAGCCACAUUUAUUAAUCCUUUGAAGUCAACAGCUUAAAAAUGGCCUUCUUUGUAAAAUUACAUUGUUAAAAGUUAGCUCAAGCUGAGUUUUGGAACAUUCUUUUUAAGGUGAAAAGCAACAAAUAACGUUUAGAAAGGCUCCGAUGCUGAAGGUGUGUAUUAUUAGGUUAGAACUUUUAGUUAAGUUUGAAACAAAAAACUAAGAGUAGCAUAUAUAUUGUUUAAGAAGUAGUGUUUUAAUCUUUACUAAUGUUCCAGCAAGGUUGUGCGUCUUCAAGCCCUUGUCAGGCCCUGAUACAAAACUUUUAAUAUUUACUUUAAUAUGAGGCAUGGUUCUAAACUCUGGUAAAUAAAUUACCACCAUACUGUUUAAUUCUGGAGUACUGUGUGAUAUUUUGGAUUAGAUACAAAAUUGUAGUGCGCAAAGAUGUAAUUUAUUUAUUCAACUUCCUGAUUGAGGAAACAAAAUUUUAGUUUUCCUGAUACGAAAAAUCCUUAGUCUCAUUCUACCAUAUUUCCCGGAAGAGCAUGAACAGAUAAUGAACAGAGCAGCGCAUACUGCAAGCAGAAGAUGUUUUUCAACAUAUUAGUUCUAUGUGUUUUUAUCAACAGGCCGAAUCCUUUAAUUUAUUAGAUGAACAAAAAAAAAAUCUGUUUUAUGUUAAAAAAAAAAAGGUGAUACUCAUUCAGACACAAUUUACCUUUGACGAUAAUAAUUUCCUGUUUCCACAAUCAAAUGUUACUAAGUUAGCAAUUUGAGCUAUUAGUUUAGCCAAGUGCUACAAUUUAUAAUAUUCCAUGUGUCUUGGCAUCUCACAUUGUGGAACAAAUUUGCAUUUUUAAUUUAAGCUACUGACGUGAUUUUUAAUUUCAUAUCUGUUCUUUUUAAGGUAAAGGUGAUAUUGCUAUGAAUGACUGAGAAUGUUAAAUUAUUGAAAACAUGAAAAAAUGUAUGUAAUUUAAUAACUUAAAUGCCAACAAAGUAAAAAUCUAGCCCUGAAAACGGAAUUAUUAGCUUGUGAGGAAUUAUUCACUUAACCAACACUAGAGGAUAGUCCUUUAACCUUUGGAGUUAACUAACAUUCUGAGCAGGUUUUGUUGCAGAGUGAAUUCUGAAGUUAAAAUAAAAGUUCAGGAACUUAAUUGCAUUUAGUUAAAUCGGUUGCAGGGAUGUUCUUGGAAGUAGAUCCUUUGUCAGAGGAUGAAUCAGUGCAGAUCUAAUGCCAAUGUUAUACUAGACACCAAACUUACAAUCAGUAUAAGAUAAUAUAUCUUUAGUUUAGGAAGCUGUAAUUUGGUUACAAUGUCCUCCUUUCCAAAAUAAAACUAGGGUGUUGAGUCUGUACAUCUGCUGAGAAUAAAACCAAUUUAUUAUUAUUACUUUUUUAGUUAAAUUGUAGUUGAAAAUUCUAAUGUGUAAAAAGCCAAUGAAUUAGAUUGGAGUUGGGAACCAGACAUUUUGUGUCCAUGUUAACAAUCUAUCAAUCAGUAAAAUAGAACUUCCAAUUUACAGCACUGGAUUAGCGAUUGCUGGGUUUCCUUCUUGGUAAAAAUUGUUAUUAGUUAAACAGUGUCUUUAAGGAUGCAUGAAAUGAAAGAAGAGCAGCCAUUAUGAAUGAGCCUCGUGUCAGUUAUGGGGCAAUCUUUUAUUUCAGUGCAUUUUCCUCCACUAAUUGCUCGAUUUGUUUAAUAGGUAAAACAUCUCCCAACCUAUUCAUCACUAUAAAUCUGCAGUACCGAGGUUUAAUAAUGAGAUCAAAUUACACUAGAGUUACAUUUCAGUAGAAGAAUUGAAAUACAUUUGUUGGAAAAGCCUUGAUUGGCGAUACUAUUGUUUAAUUAAAAAUCCUUCAGAUGGGGCCCAUACUGCUCAAUGGUAGAUUAUUGAUUCCGCAAAAAAAAAUUCUGUAAUUUGACAUAAUUUUUGUGGAUGCUCUGACUGGGGACUUCAUUAAUGAAUUUUGUUCAUUAAUCAAAUGUUCAUCAUCAUCAUUGAAUUUUGUUAUUUGCAUGAAGCAUAAUUUGAAUGGCUUCAUUAGAUACUAGUAGACAUGUAGAUUCUUCCUUGAAAUAUUUUUAUUCUUUAAAUGAUAAGCUGUGAAGUGCAUAUGUAACUUCCUAGCUACAUACUCACAAUAGUACUUCAACUUUUUUUCAACUGGGGGAAAUAAGAGCCUUUACAUCCCCCAGGUCCCCAGGUAACCACUCUGGAGAUCUGGCAUGAGAUAAGGUGCAGUGUUUCAACUGCCUUGUCCAUUACACAAUUGCUAACCAUUGAUUAAGGUUCAGUCACAGUUAACUAACAGGUCAGCCACUUCACUUCAAAAUUGCAUUCCACAGUGGAGCUGGGGACCUUUACACACUGUGGUCGGAUUGCUUAAAAAUCUAGAUUUAGUACAACCUAGACAUUCUUGAAUUCAUGUGAACCUUAUCCAGGCGUUGGCUGAAAGGGGUGGGGAACGCAAAGGUAAUACCGGUGGCUAAUUGCAGGUAUUAAACAGAGGAGGAGUUGGUAUAUGCUUCUUGUUUUCUACAUGUCUUAUUCAUUGUUUCCUUUCUUUCCAAGGCCUGCACAUUGGUAAUAAUGCUGAUGAUUAACUAAAUGAAGGCUGUAGCCUGGCAACCAUUAGGUUGGUUUUAUAUUUCAAGGGUUCAAAAUGACCAGAGAAGCCACAUUAUUCACGAGUCGGGGAAACUGAGAUUUUCUCUUUGCACCCUUUGUAUUGCCUUUCACCACGGCUGGAAAAAACGCUGCGACCUACUUGAGACCAUGAGUACGCAGAGACCACUCACGAGCUUGAGGAAGAGUUACAAAGACCUCCUACGACCUUGUGGCGACCAUGCUGCGAGUAUGAGUCGAGAGCAAACUUGGCAGAGGUCGCCAAUUAGGUUGUUGUUGUUGAGCUACUUGAGUCUGGAUGGAGCUGUACUUAUUCAAGCAAGUGCAGAGUGACCCAAGACUCUCCGAACUUACCUUGUAGAGGAUGGAAGGACUUUGGUCAUUCAGGUUAACCACCCGCUACAGGAUAUCCAGCUACUGAUUUGCUCUUGUAUUGGUAUGUCUGUUCCUACUGAGUUUCCAGUCAAGGGUGACCUUCAGGACAUUGAUUGGUGGGGACUGAGUGACAAUGAUGCUAAAGGUGGAAACUGAACCUGACACCUUCCUCAUCUGAAUGUCAAGAUAUCAGAAGAAGCAUUAACAUGAACCCUUCAGACGUCAAAAUCUUUCAUUUUAUUGAUAGAUUUUUGUAACCAAUGAAAACAAUUUUUUGUAAGUCAUUUAAAAUCAAUUAAAUAUAUUCUUGCAUUUGAAAUGGGAAUAAUUGGUAUAUUUCUUUUGUGGAAAAAUUACAUGUGCUUUUGUCCUUCAUCUGUUGACAGCAACUUACAAAGGGAAACCGACUUAAAGGCAAAUGAGUUAGUCAGCGGGGCCCAGAACACUGUAAACUGUGCCACGAACCAGUCACUACAUGUGAAAAGAGUGCGUUGAAACAAAGUAUUCUGUUUCUCAAAACAAAAUGCCUGCACUUCUUAUCUUUGGUACAAAACCAUUUCUAUUUGUUCAUUUUUGUCGUGACCUGCAAAACAAAAUGUUGACUCGUGGUGGUGUGACGGUUAUUGAUGGCUGUCUUUAGAAAUUGGAACAAAUCCCUGAACCCUAUACCCGAACUCUACCUCUGCUACACCAACAACAGCAUUGGUGCUACCUCCUGCACCCAUGCAGAACUCACUGACUUCAUCCAUUUCACCACUUCCAUCCGGCACUCAAAUUCACCUGGACCAUUCCCGACAUCUCCCUACCGUUUCUAGAUCUCUCCAUCGCAGGGAACAGACUGCUGACUGACAUCAACUACAAACCCACUGACUCGCAUGUCGAGUCGAUCUGGACUACACUUAUUCCCACCCUGCUUCAUGUAAGGAAUCUAUCCCCUGCUCCCAAUUCCUCCGUCUACACCGCAUCUGCGCCCUGGAUGAGAUGUUCCAGACCAGGGCAUCGGAGAUGUCCUCAUUCUUUAGGGAACGGGGGUUUCCCUCUUCUAUUAUAGAUGAGGCUCACCAGGGUCUCCUCUAUAUCCCACAGCUCCGCUCUUACUCCCCAUCCCCCUACUCGUAACAGGUACAGAGUCCCACCUUGUCCUCACCUUCCACCCUAUCAGCCGUCGCAUACAACUUAUGUAUUCCCUUUAUAAGACAUUUUUGCCACCUCCAACGGGAUUCCACCACUGGCCACAUCUUCUCAUCCCCACCCCUGUCUGCUUUCCGCAGAGACCGUUCCCUCCUUAACUCCCAGGUCAAUUCGUUCCCAACCCCUUUCUCUAUUAUAAAUUGCUAUUACAACAUAACUUUCUAUAACACGAGGUUUCUCAGGAACACAGCUGUUGCUUGAGAACUGAAUUGCCUGUGCACAUAAAUUAUAGGACUCGGUGACAUGUAGGUGACUGCAAGAACAAUAUAUUAGUGCAAAAUGCAAUUGGAAAACAAGUCGAUGGAAGGCUUGAGUUGCACCUGUAUAGAUGGUCCGUGAGAAGGAGAUGUUGUUACCUUUUCACAUUAAUUGAGGUCUGCUGAUCAGGAAGUGUAGCAUGCAGUUGCAAAAGGACAUAUAGAGGCUCAGGUCCUGGAGUUUGAUGAAGGGUUUGAUAAUUGGGCACAUGGAUAUGCAGGGAAUAGAGGGAUCUGCAUCACGUGCAAGCAGAAAUUAUUUUAACCUGACUUCGUGUUUGGCUCCGACAUUGUGAGCUGAAGGGCCUCUUCCUGUUCCAACUCGAUUCUACCUUUGACUGCUCAAGGAUGUCUCUCCCCGACACUGCAUCAUCUUUCUACAGCAGUAAACUCUUUGCAUUUACAGACAAGCAUCACACGCGUUUCAUUGUCAUUCUCCUCAUCUCACGUCGCCUACUUCCACCCAAAACUGUACCACUUCCUCCCCAGCCUUUGUCUCUUGUUCCGCCUCAGAUGCCCAUCCCUCUGAGCUCAGGAUGAGUAACGUUAUUCGUGAAGAUACAGAAUUGAUAAAACCCAAAAUAAAAGUGAGAGGAAUAGAUUGGUAGACACACAGAGUCUCUGGCCCAGUGUAGGGGAAUAUAGAACCAGAGGACGUAUGUUUAACGUAAGUCAUAGAGUGAUACAGUGUGGAAACAGGCCCUUCGGCCCAACUUGCCCACAUCAGCCAACAUGUCCCCGCUACACUAGUCCGACCUGCCUGCGUUUGGUCCAUAUCCAUCCAAACCUGUCCUAUCCAUGUACCUGUCCAACUGUUUCUUAAAUUUUGGGAUAGUCCCCGCCUCAACUACUUCCUCUGGCAGCUUGUUCCAUACACCCACCAUCCUUUGUGUGUAAAAGUUACCCCUCAGAUUCCUAUUAAAUCUUUUCCCCUUCUCCUUAAACCUAUGUUUUCUGGUCCUUGAUUUGCCUACUCUGGGCAAGAGACUCUGUGCAUCUACCCGAUCUAUUCCUCUCAUUAUUUUAUAUACCUCAAUAAGAUCACCCCUCAUCCUCCAGAGUCCCAGCCUACUCAACCUCUCCCUAUAGCUCAGACCCUCUGGUCCUGGCAACAUCCACGUAAAUCUUCUCUGUAACUUUUCCAGCUUGACAACAUAUUUUCUAUGCCCAGAACUGAACACAAUACUCUAAAUGCGGCUUCACCAACAUCUUAUACAACUGCAACAUGACCUCCCAACUUCUAUACUUACUACUCUGACUGAUGAAGCCAAUGUGCCAAAAGCCUGUUUGACCACCCGACCUACCUAUGACUCCACCUUCAAACAACCAUACAUCUUAACGUCUAGAUCCCUCUGAUCUAUAACACUCCCCAGAGCCCUACCAUUCACUGUGUAGGUUCUGCCCAUGUUCCCCAAAUGCAACACCUCCCCAUUCUCUGUAUUAAAUUCCAUCAACCGUUCCUCAGCCCACCUGGCCGAUCGAUCAAGAUCCUGCUGCAAUUUUUCACAACCAUCUACAACUAUCUGCAAAACCACCCACUUUUGUAUAAUCUGCGUAUACCCGUCCCAUCCUUUUUAAUCUUGACCAAUGCCUCAAUUUCUCUCGCCAGCCAAGCUUUGUUACUUUAGCCUGCCUUGCCCUUCACUCUAAUAGGGACGUGCAUGUCCUGAGCUUUUGUCAGCACAUUUAUAAAAACAUCCCACUUGA